UGAUUCAAUCAGGAGGUUUAUUCUAGACUUGCCUUCAGCCAGAAGGCAUUUACAGGGUCAUAAACUUUUAUGACCUGCCUCUCAGCCAGUUGGUCAUUCUAGGGUCAUAAAACCCACCCAUCUGUUUCUGCUCUGUGAAUAAAAGUCUCUGCUGUUCUGUUGGGGGUCAGAUUGGUGCUGGGAUGUGAGCAGCAGCCUUUCUCAUUCCUGCAGGAAAAGCAAAAUCCUUUUGCGCUUCAGAUUCAUUUUUGUCCUAUAUUGUGACAACCUGCUUGUUGCACAGAGCUGGCUGCACCGUUAUUCAUAAAUCCUCCUGCUUCUUCACAGCUCAAGACACGCCUUCUUUACACCCAUUGAACACAUGCACUUACCUGAUUGGUCCGCUGUUCAAUCUGACUCCUAGCUCCAGUUUGAAAAUGUCAGUGUCUCAGCAGAGAGCGUAACAGAAACAGCUGCUGUUACUACGUCUGCAUAUUCCGUUCUGUCGACCAGUAACAAAGUCAGUCUGAGGCCGUUUAAUCCCUCGUGCUUUCAGUAUUUUGCCUCUGUUCUGGAUACCACCGAUCAUUAACAAAAAGGAGAAAAUCAACCAAACAAACUUCAUUCUGUGCUCCUGCCGUGCCGACGUGUCAUCACAAUUACCCGGAAGCCGGUGACGUCACAGUUAAAGGUCCUCCUGAAACCAACAACAGAAAACCUGAUCCAGUUCCUGCCUCUAAGCAAGAUUAUUUUCUCAUCUGACCUCUCUUGCUGUGGGGCAAUUUAUAUUGGAGCC